GCUCUGUUCUUUGUAAUGCCUAAUUAGUUU
rnacentral:piRNA from 1 species